rnacentral:rRNA from 1 species
CCUACGGGAGGCAGCAGUGGGGAAUAUUGCACAAUGGGGGAAACCCUGCUGCAGCGACGCCGCGUGAGUGAAGAAGUAUUUCGGUAUGUAAAGCUCUAUCCGCAGGGAGGAAAAUGACGGUCCCUGAUUAAGAAGCCCCGGCUAACUACGUGCCAGCAGCCGCGGUAAUACGUAGGGGGCAAGCGUUAUCCGGAUUUACUGGGUGGAAAGGGGGCGUAGACGGCAGCACAAGACGGGAGUGAAAUGCCGGGGCUUAACCCCGGAACUGCUUUGGAAACUGUGCAGCUAGAGGGCAGGAGAGGUAAGUGGAAUUCCUAGUGGAGCGGUGAAAUGCGUAGAUAUUAGGAGGAACACCAGUGGCGAAGGCGGUUUACUGGACUGUAACUGACGUUGAGGCUCGAAAGCGUGGGGAGCAAACAGGAUUAGAUACCCCAGUAGUC